GUGAGCAUGUCAAUGUUUGAGAAAUUUUUGAAUCACGAGGAAAUUCGAGGGACUGGCCAUUUUGCUAACAAAUGCAGUUCUGAACAAUGUCGUCAACAUUGGGACCUUCUGGUGUUUUUGAUGGUCCAGCCUAUCUGUCUUUGUGGACAACCACAGUUUUGGCGGCCACUGGGAGGUAUUGCAUAUUGUUCUGAUCAGGUAACAUAUACGUGUGCUGAGUAUGCAAAGAAGAGUUCUGAAACAAUACAUACAGAGCAAGUAAAUUACAGGGGCGUGCAUUUUUAUUCCUGUGGUAUGGUGUCGCAACUGGAAGUUGCUGAAUACUUUGAUUAUUGGGCUACUUCCU
rnacentral:lncRNA from 1 species